GAUCUUGUGUGGAGCCCUAGGAGUAGCUCCAGCCAGUAGACUAGGAGAAGUCCAAGGAGGUGAAGAGCAGUGUGACCUCUCCAUAACUCUUUUAUUUGCCACAAAAAUCUUGAAGACCAUAUGUGCCAUAUGGCACAGUCACAAGAAGGAGGAAGGCUGGUCUACCUGAACUGCACAUUGUACGACUGAUAACUAAAAUUGUACAUUGUUAAACUAUAACAUUUUCAGAUUUGAGCACCCUGAUGGGUAAAAUUAAUCCAG
rnacentral:lncRNA from 1 species